rnacentral:ncRNA from 1 species
GAAAUGGAGCCAGAAACCAUUAAAAAAACGGGGCGGAUACGAAAAGCCACACGAGUAGUGA